rnacentral:tRNA from 1 species
UGCGAGGUGGGGAAGUUCGGCCGUUCCCGCGGGCCUCAUAAGCCCGAGCUCGUCGGUUCGUAUCCGGCCCUCGCUCCC